UACGUAGGGGGCAAGCGUUGUCCGGAAUCAUUGGGCGUAAAGAGCGUGUAGGCGGCCCGAUAAGUCCGCCGUGAAAGUCCAGGGCUCAACCCUGGGAUGCCGGUGGAAACUGUCGGGCUAGAGUCCGGAAGAGGCGAGUGGAAUUCCUGGUGUAGCGGUGAAAUGCGCAGAUAUCAGGAGGAACACCAAUGGCGAAGGCAGCUCGCUGGGACGGUACUGACACUGAGACGCGAAAGCGUGGGGAGCAAACAGG
rnacentral:rRNA from 1 species